GAUGAACGCUAGCGACAGGCUUAACACAUGCAAGUCGAGGGGCAGCGGGGGAGAAAGCUUGCUUUCUCCUGCCGGCGACCGGCGCACGGGUGAGUAACACGUAUGCAACCUGGCCGUCACAGGUGGAUAACCGGAAGAAAUUCCGACUAAUACAGCAUAACACUCCUGAGGGACAUCCUUCGGGAGUCAAAGGAGGCGACUCCGGUGACGGAUGGGCAUGCGGCGCAUUAGGUAGUUGGUAGGGUAACGGCCUACCAAGCCGACGAUGCGUAGGGGUUCUGAGAGGAAGGUCCCCCACAUUGGGACUGAGACACGGCCCAA
rnacentral:rRNA from 1 species